CUCACCGUAGUUAAAUGGAUAUAACAGAUUCCUCCUAAGAAUCAAUCAGUGGUUCGAUUCCACUCGGUGAGACCA
rnacentral:tRNA from 1 species